rnacentral:rRNA from 1 species
CUUGACCUACGGGAGGCAGCAGUGAGGAAUAUUGGUCAAUGGCCGGAAGGCUGAACCAGCCAAGCCGCGUGAGGGAGGAAGGCGCAGAGCGUCGCAGACUUCUUUUGCCGGGGGACAAAAGGCCGGACUCGUCCGGUCCUGAGGGUACCCGGAGAAAAAGCAUCGGCUACCUCCGUGCCAGCAGCCGCGGUAAUACGGAGGAUGCGAGCGUUAUCCGGAUUCAUUGGGUUUAAAGGGCGCGCAGUCGG